AACGAACGCUGGCGGCGUGGAUAAGACAUGCAAGUCGAACGAUUACUAGUGGGUAGCAAUAUUCGCUAGUGAGAGUGGCGCAAGGGUGCGUAACACGUGGGUAAUUUGCCGUGAAGUCUGGGAUAACUUGCUGAAAGGCGAGCUAAUACCGGAUGUGAUUACUGGAAGGCAUCUUCUGGUACUUAAAGUCGGGGACCGUAAGGCCUGACGCUUCUCGAUAAGCCCGCGGCCUAUCAGCUAGUUGGUGAGGUAACGGCCCACCAAGGCUAAGACGGGUAGCUGGUCUGAGAGGACGACCAGCCACACUGGAACUGAGACACGGUCCAGACACCUACGGGUGGCAGCAGUCGAGAAUUUUUUCUCAAUGGGCGAAAGCCUGAAGGAGCGACGCCGCGUGGGGGAUGAAUGGCUUCGGCCCGUAAACCCCUGUCAUUUGCGAUCAAACCUUACGACCUAACACGUCGUGAGCUGAUAGUAGCGGAAGAGGAAGGGACGGCUAACU
rnacentral:rRNA from 1 species